rnacentral:lncRNA from 1 species
GGCGGUUUUACAAUUUAUUGUUUCGAUCUUCAUUGCAUAUUUUUGUAUCGGUGAGACCAUGGUCAUCCGUGAGCCUACCAGGGCCAAAUUAGACAUCGCACAGCAGUCAUCAGUGAGAUAUAAAUGAUUGUAUGCGUGAAACACCAACAGAUCUAACACGAGUCUUCCAGGACCAGACAUCUGACAUCUGUUCAGACUGCAGCCAGAUCAUUGAGCUAUUCACAGACAUGAUCUCCAACACAGACACCCAGGAGUGGAUCAACAACACCCUGGAUGACCUGUGUCUGCGCCUCCCCAGCGGUGUGGCUCAAAGCCACUGUAUAUCCCAGGUUCAGAUGUACCUGCCCCAAGCCCUCUAGUACCUCAUUGGCAUACUGAAGCCAGGUGAGACGUAUGGUAUUGGGACUGUGUGUUGUCCACUCAAAGAGGGGAGCACCUACAGUUUUCUCCUACCAAUACUGACAUG